CUUGACAUUUUUAGGGGAUGAAAUGGUAUGCACUGCUUUAAAAUAUAUUUGUGUUCACAAACCAAAGUGCAUUUAGUGCAAAUCAAAAUAUUAGCAGAAAGAAACUUGUCUGUAUAAGGUGAGGCUUGAAGGUUACCCCAAAGACUUCCUCUUGUCUUCCACAGAAUAUGUAUACAAAAAAAUGGGGAGCAUCUGCUAAAUCAAUAUAAAGUAAAACAACAUAGCAUAUAACUGUGUGGAUAAA